rnacentral:rRNA from 1 species
GAUGAACGCUGGCGGCGUGCCUAAUACAUGCAAGUCGAGCGAACAGACGAGGAGCUUGCUCCUCUGACGUUAGCGGCGGACGGGUGAGUAACACGUGGAUAACCUACCUAUAAGACUGGGAUAACUUCGGGAAACCGGAGCUAAUACCGGAUAAUAUAUUGAACCGCAUGGUUCAAUAGUGAAAGACGGUUUUGCUGUCACUUAUAGAUGGAUCCGCGCCGCAUUAGCUAGUUGGUAAGGUAACGGCUUACCAAGGCAACGAUGCGUAGCCGACCUGAGAGGGUGAUCGGCCACACUGGAACUGAGACACGGUCCAGACUCCUACGGGAGGCAGCAGUAAGGAAUCUUCCGCAAUGGGCGAAAGCCUGACGGAGCAACGCCGCGUGAGUGAUGAAGGUCUUCGGAUCGUAAAACUCUGUUAUUAGGGAAGAACAAAUGUGUAAGUAACUAUGCACGUCUUGACGGUACCUAAUCAGAAAGCCACGGCUAACUACGUG